AUUGCCCUGUGCGAGUCCUCGCCGGAGGAAGGGAGGAGAGCAGCGGCGGGCGAGAUAGAGCGUUGUGCAGCGGCUGCUGGAGGGAGGAGGUGGCGGGAGGCGGCGGCUCCGGCCUCCGGGUGCUCGGCCGAAUUGGGGGGAAGACGAGGGAUUCGGGUUGGGUCAGGCUCGGGACAUUUGGCUAAACGAGACGGGCUAGACUGGGCUUGGUGUCUUUUUUUUUGAACUAUUGGGGUUGGCUGGGUGUCUUUAUCCUGUGGACGUGUGGAGAAUAUGGAGACGAGGAAGUGGGCCUUUUCUGUUUCAAUGACCUAGGCUCGCUCGGCUCGGAGGCCGAACGUGCCCAAGAGGCAGACUUUUUAAGAAAAAAUCCCAAGAGCCGGACUUGGCUCGGUCUUUUUAUGUAGCGCACCGAGCUCGAGCCAGGCCGAGCCCACGCGAGCCUGAAAGCUCAGCUCGAGCGUCCACUACGUAAAUGUCACACCUCCGAGCUCCGCGCCUUAAUGGGCCAGCCCAGUUUUUUUUCUGGCUGAAGACAGCAAACGAGGGGCACUUUGGUGAGGCUUUAGAUGGCCUUAAAAAAACUCACCUCAUACGCUGAGUCUAACAGAAAAAUCCGUUUUGUUCUAAAAAAAACAGAAAAAUCCGUUUGUUCUAAAAAAAAAGAGAAAAAUCCGUUUGUUCUAAAAAAAGAAAAAUCCGUCAGGUCAAACAUCGGUCGACACGACACUACACAAAUCAGGGCAACAUGAUGCUACCUAACCUACCCGUUCGAUCAAUCAACGUCCGCUUGAGUUUCAUCCCUGCGUGGCAGUCUGUCUCCCUUGCUGCUUGCUGGCUUCCAACACAGGAUCCCAAUCCAACGAUCCAAAAAUGAAAGGGAAACUAUUAAUAUCCGUCGGCCGAUCGGGUCGCUGCAUCGGCCACGCGCAGCACCGUCCGAUUGGUCCGCACGUCCGUCAGCCUCCCGAAAGCCUGCUUAGGAUGCGUCCAUUCGCUCGCCCCGUGCGUGCCCGUGUAGCAUCCGCUCGAUCGAUCGCAGCACUCUUUUUUUUUUAGGAACCCGUGAGCAGCUUUAUUGAUCAUCAAACAUAGGAGUACAAUCAGCCUAUCU
rnacentral:lncRNA from 1 species